AUCGACUACAGGUAUGGCCGGUAUCAUCCGCGGAAGGAAUAGGUGAGGCGGCGGCAUCUGUACCCCAGAUGACCCACUAUCCGAAGAAGUAGGAGCUGGAGUGGGCGCCCGGUGUAUCUCAGGCAUACGGGGUGCAGACACCUCCGUCUGAGGCUGAGCAAACAACUGCCUCGAGGAAUGAGGGAAGCCCCGCUGCCUCGAUGAAGGGGGCACCUCCGGCUGCCUCUGCGCCGUCUGCAGAAGGCUCGCAUGUCUAGCUGUCAUGAGGCCUUGAAACGACGUCUGAGGGUUGCUAGAUGUUCCCUCAGACGAUACGGACCUUUGGCCCUUCGAACCCUUCGUCGAUCUAAUAUUACCGCUCACCCUAUUUAAAAUAUUAAUUUGAAUCAAGGCCACAAAAUCAAAAAAUGCAAACUCAUUUUAAAAAUGUAAAAAAUAUAUACACUUCCUAAAUACUAAUUUUCACUUCCUAAAUUUUACACAUAUACACUUCCUAAAUAUACACUUCAUAAAUAAAAAUAUACACUUCCUAACAACACCACAACAUUGCAAUUGGCCGGAAAAUCAAAGCAAACACAAAAUACAAAACAAAUAUAUACAUUUCCUAAAUACUAAAUACAAAUAUACACUUAUUAAACAACAAUAUACACUUCCUAAAUACAAAUAUACACUUCCUAACAACACCACAACAUUGCAAUUAACCGGAAAAUAAAAGCAAACACAAAAUAAAACUAAAGCUCAAAAACGUACUCGAGGAGGAGGAGGGAGGACCGGAGCAGCAGCAGGAGGAGGCCGGGCGGAGAGGGAGAGGGAGCGGAGGCCGAGACCGGGAGAGGGAGAGGGAGAGGAGGCGGAGACCGGGAGAGUGAGAGGGAGAGGGCGGUGACCGGGAGAGGGAGAGAGAGAGGAGGCGGAGACCGGGAGAGUGAGAGGGAGAGGGUGGCGCCUGAACGACCGAGGGAGCGGAGGCGGAGGAGGGGAAAUUCGGAGAGGGAGAGGAAAAGGUGGCUAGGGUUUACAACCAGUCGAGCGCUGGGUUAUACCCGAACACUUUAGCCGACGAAAUAAUAAUUUCGUCGGCUAAAGGUAAUAAUUUCGUCGGCUAACCUAACACUUUAGCCGACGAAAUAAUUAUUUCGUCGGCUAAGAUAAAAUUCGUCGGCUAAACCUUUAAAAUUCGUCCGCUAAACCUAUGAAAUUCGUCGGCUAAACACAAAAUUCGUCGACUUUAUAACUUUUUAUACAUUCGUCAAACUGUGACUGCUGCUCGUGAUGAUCAAACUUUAGAACGAAAAUCCGACCGUCAGAUCUGACCUUCAUGAUAAAAUACAUGUAUGGGAAAUAAUUCAACUUGAUCCGACAAGGUUAAGGGCUCGAUCCGGACGGUCAAUCCGUUAAGUCAAACCCCUAAACGCACGGAAAAGGUCAUUGGACUGUCUAAAUUACGUAUUUUGGCCGGACCUUCAACUGAAAAUAGUUUCAAACCGAUGAGACGCAGCAAGUCCUAUAAAAAUUUUAUGCAAAAUAACCACCGAAGAUAGGGCUACCCAUAGGGAGAAAGAAUGGAAAAUUGCAUUGACCGCAACUAUCGGCACCGAGACAUAACCGGAAUACCGUGAUUUUUCAACUGUAGACGUAUUUCACCAUUCUGGUCAUGUCUUAUUUCAUGACUUUUUUACGUUUGAAGGUUCUACGUAUAGUUUGUUUUUGAAACGGAACAUUUACUUAACACUCGGUAAACAAGUUAUACGACAUUAGUAAGCAUGUUGUGAUUGUGAUGAUCAAACUUGAGAAAAGGAAAUCCGACGGUCAGAUCUAACCAUCAUGAUAAAAUACAUGUAUGGGAAAAAAUUCAACUUGAUCUGACAAGGUUAAGUGCUCGAUCCGGACGGUCAAUCCCGUAAGUCAAACCCCUAAAUGCAUGGAAAAGGUCGUUGGACCGUCUAAAUUUCGUAUUUUGACCGGACCUUCAACUGAAAUUAUUUUCAAAUCGAUGAGACACAAUAAGUCGUAUAAAAAAUUUUACGCAAAAUAAACCACCGAAGAUAGGGCUAUAG
rnacentral:lncRNA from 1 species